rnacentral:rRNA from 1 species
CCUACGGGCGGCUGCAGUGAGGAAUAUUGGUCAAUGGGCGCGAGCCUGAACCAGCCAAGUCGCGUGAGGGAAGACGGUCCUAUGGAUUGUAAACCUCUUUUGUCGGGGAGCAAAAGACGCCACGCGUGGCGUUCCGAGAGUACCCGAAGAAAAAGCAUCGGCUAACUCCGUGCCAACAGCCGCGGUAAUACGGGGGAUGCGAGCGUUAUCCGGAUUGAUGGGGUGUAAGGGGAGCGCAGGGGGAAGAGCAAGUCAGCGGUAAAAUUGAGAGGCACAACCUCUCAGCGCCGUUGAAACUGGUUUUCUUGAGUGAGUGAGAAGUAGGCGGAAUGCGUGGUGUAGCGGUGAAAUGCAUAGAUAUCACGCAGAACUCCGAUUGCGAAGGCAGCAUACCGGCGCUCAACUGACGCUCAUGCACGAAAGUGUGGGUAUCGAACAGGAUUAGAUACCCGAGUAGUC